rnacentral:rRNA from 1 species
GAUGAACGCUGGCGGCGUGCCUAUACAUGCAAGUCGAACGGAGCACUUCGGUGCUUAGUGGCGAACGGGUGAGUAAUAUAUGAACAACCUACCCCUUUGACCGGGAUAACACACUGAAAAGCGUGCUAAUACCGGAUAGGCGAUCGAGAGGCAUCUCUUGAUUAUUAAAGGAGCGUCUGCUCCACAUUGGGAUGGGUUCAUAUCGCAUUAGCUAGUUGGUGAGGUAACGGCCCACCAAGGCGAUGAUGCGUAGCCGAUCUGAGAGGAUGACCGGCCACAUUGGGACUGAGACACGGCCCAGACUCCUACGGGAGGCAGCAGUAGGGAAUUUUCGGCAAUGGGCGCAAGCCUGACCGAGCAACGCCGCGUGAACGAUGAAGGUCUUAUGGAUUGUAAAGUUCUGUUACGAGGGAAGAACAGCACUGAUAGGAAAUGAUCAGUGUGUGACGGUACCUCGCCAGAAAGCCACGGCUAACUACGUGCCAGCCGCCGCGGUAAGAC